AGACUGUCAUUGCGAAAUUAAUAGUUACGUUGAUCUUUUAUGCCUUCACAGGUAAAAAGAUGUAUAAAAUCCAGAAAGGCUACAACACCACAAAUGCAACAAAGCUAAUUAAAGAGCAUUUGAUUCAUUGACCAUGCCAAUAAAGUUUUCUUUCCACCAGAAGAUCAUUCAAAUAUUAGGAGAAUAUUAUUAAUAAAAUAGAAAUAAUUUGAGUAAAGUGCAAAGUAAUAUCAUAUAGGGUUCAAUUUCAUCACUAGGGACAGAUUGCUUCUAUGUUUUGGAUCAUCUGGCUUAAGUUCCUCAC
rnacentral:misc_RNA from 1 species